rnacentral:rRNA from 1 species
CCCCACUGCUAUCGGGAUGGGACUAAGACAUGCUAGUCGAGCGUCUCCAAGCUAUGGAAGAGACGCGGCACACAGCUCAGUAACACGUGGCUAACCUGCCCUUGGGACAAGGACAACUCCGGGAAACUGGGGCUAAUCCCUGAUAAGUGAGAACUCCUGGAAUGGAUUCUCGCUCAAAGGACGUUUAGACCAUGCUUCUAGGCGUCGCCCAAGGAGGGGGCCGCGACCGAUCAGGUUGUUGGUGAGGUAACGGCUCACCAAGCCUUUAACCGGUACGGGCCGUGAGAGCGGAAGCCCGGAGAUGGGCACUGAGACAAGGGCCCAGGCCCUACGGGGCGCAGCAGUCGCGAAAACUCCGCAAUACACGAAAGUGUGACGGGGCCAUCCCGAGUGCCAUCCGCUGAGGAUGGCUUUUCCCCAGUGUAUAAAGCUGGGGGAAUAAGGAGAGGGCAAGCCUGGUGUCAGCCGCCGCGGUAAUACCAGCUCUCCGAGUGGUGGGGAUGUUUAUUGGGCCUAAAGCAUUCGUAGCCUGCUUGGCAAGUCCUCCGUUAAAUCCAACGAUUCAAUCGUUGGGCUGCGGGGGAUACUGUCCGGCUAGGGGGCGGGAGAGGCCGACGGUAUCCUCGGGGUAGGGGUGAAAUCCUAUAAUCCCGGGAGGACCACCAGUGGCGAAGGCUGUCGGCUAGAACGCGCUCGACGGUGAGGGAUGAAAGCUGGGGGAGCGAACCGGAUUAGAUACCCGGGUAGUCCCAGCUGUAAACGAUGCAGGCUAGGUGUUGGCGCGGCUACGUGCCGCUCCAGUGCCGCAGGGAAGCCGUUAAGCCUGCCGCCUGGGAAGUACGGCCGCAAGGCUGAAACUUAAAGGAAUUGGCGGGGGAGCACCACAAGGUGUGAAGCUUGCGGUUU